UCGAGAAUUAUUCGCAAUGGGCGAAAGCCUGACGAUGCGACGCCGUGUGAGCGAUGAAGGCCUUAGGGUUGUAAAGCUCUUUCGCCUGGGAACAAGAAAGGCUGGCUAAUAUCCAGCCAAUUUGAGGGUACCAGGAAAAGAAGCACCGGCUAACUCCGUGCCAGCAGCUGCGGUAAUACGGAGGGUGCAAGCAUUAAUCGGAUUUAUUGGGCGUACAGGGCGCGUAGGCGGUAAUGUAAGUCAGAUGUGAAAUCCCGGGGCUCAACUCCGGAACUGCAUUUGAAACUACAUUCCUAGAGGAUAGGCGGAGAAAACGGAAUUCCACAAGUAGCGGUGAAAUGCGUAGAUAUGUGGAAGAACACCUGUGGCGAAAGCGGUUUUCUAGCUUAUUCCUGACGCUAAGGCGCGAAAGGUAGGGGAGCAAACA
rnacentral:rRNA from 1 species